rnacentral:rRNA from 1 species
GACGAACGCUGGCGGCGUGCUUAACACAUGCAAGUCGAACGGUGAAGCGCCUUCCUUUUUGGUGGGUGUGGAUGAGUGGCGAACGGGUGAGUAACACGUGAGUAACCUGCCCCCUUCUUCUGGAUAACCGCAUGAAAGUGUGGCUAAUACGGGAUAUUCUGGGUCUGUCGCAUGAUGGGUCUGGGAAAGAUAUUGUUUCGGUUGUGGAUGGGCUCGCGGCCUAUCAGCUUGUUGGUGGGGUGAUGGCCUACCAAGGCGGUGACGGGUAGCCGGCCUGAGAGGGUGGGCGGCACCAGAGGGACGGCGAGACCGAGCAGACUACUAGGGGCGGCAGCAGGGGAGAUUAUUGAACGAUGGGAGGAAGGAUGGUGCAGCGACGCGGCGGGAGGGAUGGAGGCCUUAGGGUUGUGAACCUCUUUCGCGAGUGAAGCAGGCCUGCAUCGUGUGUGGGUGGGUUGACGGUAGCUGGACAAGAAGCGACGGCUAACUACGUG